rnacentral:tRNA from 1 species
GCGGCCGUGGCUAACUGGUUAUAGUGUUCGCUUAGUAAGCAAAUGAUGCUGGGUUCGAUACCCAUCUGCCCCC